UUUUAUAUUAACUUUUUUUUAAUUUUUUUUUUCUUUACUUUUUUACUUUAUCGAUUACCAUCUAAAAUAAAAAAAUUGCAUUCAGCAAUGUUUUAGAGAGCUUUUAAACGAUUAAAAGCUUUUUCAGAUUUUGUCAUUCAAUGUGAUUGUAAAGGCGAAUAUAUAUAGAUAUUGUAUCAGACAAGUCAAAAGACUUGCCAAAUACAAAGUGUCCUUACCUAAUAUCUAUUCUUAUAAUUCUAAUUCUGAAUAAAUUCUUUUCUACCAGAUAUAUAUCAAGUCGAACUAAACAUAACAUUUCGCAGGUAUGAAAAAUCAUACAUUGUAUUGCGUCACAGGCAUCAGAUUUACGUUUCCGCCAUAUUUUUCGUAUUUAUUUUUCGAUGAAAUCGUAUCUUUCGAAAUGAAAUUUAAAACGGGAGUCUCAUUGCAAAACUUUAAACUUACUCUUUUGACAUUUAUAACUAAACAUUCUUUAAUUCUUUAUUUCAAAUGCUAUCUCGAUAAAUGCAUUUAAUUUUCUCCUUGUAAAAAUAAUUUCGUGAAAAUAGCUACGAAAAUUUUACAUGGACAGAUUAUGAAAAAUGUGAUACUUGAAACGGAUAUUCCAAUAAAUAAUAGUCAUAUAGAAACAUUCGAAUAUUCAUUUAAAAUAUAUAUAUAUAAAUUAAAGGUAUUUGAAAUAAAAUAUUUAAAUCAAUAAGUAAUUUCAUACAUUAUAACCUUUAAUUUUCAAAGGACGUAUAACCUUCCCAUAGAAAGGAUCGCACGUCGACUGUUCCAUUUCCGAUUGGAAGCGCAAGAAUGUGUUUUACACGGACGUUACUUUGCGGUAACGACACCGGUUUCUAUAACUUAUGGUCAACCUUGACUUUCUAAGCAAUCUAAAAAGCGGUAACGAUGCAGCAUCCAUGAGCUAACGGUCCGAUGUCUGUAAAGAGUUUAACUGGUGGGACGCAAUAAUUCAGGUUCGUCUAUGGUCAGUGUGGAGCCAGCUGAAAGGGCUAAGAUAUUUAUGGGUUGCAGCUGAUCUUGGUCCAUGUAGAGCUUUUUCACAGUGAGAAUAAAACUAGCCUCGAUGUCAUCCAUGUCUUUUUUUCAUUGAUCUAUACACUUAGUAUUGUUAAUAUAUUUUUUUUAUAAUUCUAAUAUUAGUUUAUUUAAAGAAAUCUAAUAAGGAAUCAAAAAUUUUUUAUUAAUUAUGAUUCAAAUCUGAAAAACUAAUUCAAAGAAAAAGCCAUAGUCACUAGAGCUAACUUUCCAAAUCUCUGUUUAUCUCAAAAAUUGUCUCUGCAGCUUUAUAUCAACGCAUGAUCGCAUAUGAGCACAAAAACGUUCCAAGCCAUUGAUAAUCCUUGGAAACUCGGUAUUGUAGUAUACGUCUUUCGGAAAAACCCUUUCACGGCCAAGAGAAUUCUUUCACUAUAAGCAUAGGUAUAAUUCGAGAAAAUCUUCUUUGUGGUUCACUAUGUGAAACAUACAGUAGUGAAACAUACAUAAUGGUGUAUAUAAAGAGUGUUUCUCGAAUCUAAGCCAAACAUAAAAUGGGAAAAAA
rnacentral:lncRNA from 1 species